rnacentral:sRNA from 1 species
CCACUGAUUCGAUUCGCCGAACUUGCUCCGCUCCCACCUCACGACCUCUAUCCCCUCCACUAAGUCCUGAUCCAACUGUCCUAGUUUCUCUGCAUCCCGUUGGGAGCAGACAGGCUUCGGUCGGGCUUUCCCUGCAUGAAUACCGUAAAACCCUCUCCCGUCCGCAUCUGGAUGAGGCCUCUGUUUCCGGCCCGCGAAAAACAUUGAGAAGGAAGCCUAAAGCUUUGAACCUCAAUCUUGUUCGAUCCCCUACAGCUCCACCUUCUCCCCCUCCCAGCCCUGCAUCAUCAGUAUCUCCAAUAUAUCCCCUAGACUCAGUAAGGUCAUCGCGAUCCGGCCAAGAUGAAGGAAGUUUUCAUGAAUAUAUUCCCCACCACAUGCUAGGGGAGGCUACGUCAUUAUCACACAUCAUUCAUCCAUUCACUGCUGCUCUUAACACUUCAUCUCAGCAACCCCCCCCUCUGGCGAAUUCUUCUCCUUCACCUCCACCCCGCACUCCUGCUGCUAGUAUAGCGAGCGCAAGCACCGGAAUCAGGAAAUUGAACGCGUUCAGGCACCGCUUAAAACAGAUUCCCGUCAGGAUCAUGUCUCAUCACAAAAGUUCUUCGGAUUCUGCUCUAUUCCAACGGCCAGAUUGCUCAAACACUAAGCUUCGCCACAAGGGCGUUUCAUUUGAGAUACUCAACCCGCCUAAGUCACCUAGAUUUCCCGUAUCUUCCAAGCCUCUUGCAUUACAGAAGGGGCUCUCAGCACCCGCCCCUUUUUUCGACCCAAUGUCUUCUCAGUUUUUCAACCAAGGCACCCCAACCAGAGAAAUUCGUCGGGAACAACAACAAACCCCCCUGGAAUACGGGAGUCAAUCUAGGAAAGAGAGAGAGGAGUGUCGACCCAUAUCUCCACUGGCUUUGUUCGAGGACCUUCCGACAGCCCAUUCAUCCAUUACUUCGCGCAUAACGAACCAAAGAAACAACCUCUUUCUCCUGUCUCCACACACAGAUCACUCCAUAAAUGAUCUGAAUAUGGAGGCUCCAUUGGACAUGACCGCUGACAGAUCCCCUGUCACUCGUCCCCCCAAUUGUUCUGGUCUGCUUGCGUCCUAUUUCGGUGAGGGCUUCACCUCAGACCUUGUUGUUUCUAACGAAUGUAAUCCUGUUUUGACAUCAGUAGAAAAUAAAGCCAUUGAUCGUCCUUUCCAGG